CCUGACGCAGCAACGCCGCGUGCGGGAUGACGGCCUUCGGGUUGUAAACCGCUUUCAGCAGGGACGAAGGGUCACCUUGACGGUACCUGCAGAAGAAGCACCGGCUAACUACGUGCCAGCAGCCGCGGUGAUACGUAGGGUGCGAGCGUUGUCCGGAAUUAUUGGGCGUAAAGAGCUUGUAGGCGGUCUGUUGCGUCGGAAGUGAAAACUCAGGGCUUAACCCUGAGCCUGCUUUCGAUACGGGCAGACUUGAGGGAUGUAGGGGAGAACGGAAUUCCUGGUGGAGCGGUGGAAUGCGCAGAUAUCAGGAGGAACACCAGUGGCGAAGGCGGUUCUCUGGACAUUUCCUGACGCUGAGAAGCGAAAGCGUGGGGAGCAAACAGGCUUAGAUACCCUGGUAGUCCACGCCGUAAACGGUGGGCACUAGGUGUGGGUUCCAUUCCACGGAAUCCGUGCCGAAGCUAACGCAUUAAGUGCCCCGCCUGGGGAGUACGGCCGCAAGGCUAAAACUCAAAGGAAUUGACGGGGGCCCGCACAAGCGGCGGAGCAUGCGGAUUAAUUCGAUGCAACGCGAAGAACCUUACCUGGGUUUGACAUAUGCCGGACACACCUAGAGAUAGGUGCCCCGCAAGGCCGG
rnacentral:rRNA from 2 species